rnacentral:rRNA from 1 species
GAUGAACGCUGGCGGCGUGCUUAACACAUGCAAGUCGAACGAAGCACUUUAUUUGAUUUCCUUCGGGACUGAUUAUUUUGUGACUGAGUGGCGGACGGGUGAGUAACGCGUGGGUAACCUGCCUUGUACAGGGGGAUAACAGUUGGAAACGGCUGCUAAUACCGCAUAAGCGCACGGCAUCGCAUGAUGCAGUGUGAAAAACUCCGGUGGUAUAAGAUGGACCCGCGUUGGAUUAGCUAGUUGGUGAGGUAACGGCUCACCAAGGCGACGAUCCAUAGCCGACCUGAGAGGGUGACCGGCCACAUUGGGACUGAGACACGGCCCAAACUCCUACGGGAGGCAGCAGUGGGGAAUAUUGCACAAUGGGCGAAAGCCUGAUGCAGCGACGCCGCGUGAGCGAAGAAGUAUUUCGGUAUGUAAAGCUCUAUCAGCAGGGAAGAUAAUGACGGUACCUGACUAAGAAGCACCGGCUAAAUACGUG